rnacentral:rRNA from 1 species
GACGUAGGGGGCCAGCGUUGCUCGGAAUUACUGGGUGUAAAGGGUUCGUAGGCGGUGUGGCAAGUCGGGAGUGAAAUCCCUGGGCUCAACCCAGGGGCUGCUUCCGAAACUGCUGUGCUAGAGUGUGGGAGAGGCGCGUGGAAUUGCAGGUGUAGCGGUGAAAUGCGUAGAUAUCUGCAGGAACACCCGUGGCGAAAGCGGCGCGCUGGACCACUACUGACGCUGAGGAACGAAAGCUAGGGGAGCAAACAGG